GAGUUUGAUCCUGGCUCGGAAGAAGGCUGGCGACGUGCUUAACAAAUGCCAGUCGAACGAAAUACUCUAUUUGAUUUUCUUCGGAAAUGAAGAUUUUGUGACUGAGUGGCGGACGGGUGAGUAACGCGUGGGUAACCUGCCUCAUACAGGGGGAUAACAGUUGGAAACGACUGCUAAUACCGCAUAAGCGCACGGUAUCGCAUGGUACAGUGUGAAAAACUCCGGUGGUAUGAGAUGGACCCGCGUCUGAUUAUUCAGUUGGUGGGGUAACGGCCUACCAAAGCAUCGAUCAGUAGCCGACCUGAGAGGGUGACCGGCCACGUUGGGACUGAGACCCUGCCCUUACUCCUACGGGAAGUAGCUGUGGGGAAUAUUGCACAAUGGGGGAAACCCUGAUGCAGCGACGCCGCGUGAACUACGAAGUAUUUCGGUAUGUAAAGUUCUAUCAGCAGGGAAGAUAAUGACGGUACCUGACUAAGAAGCACCGGCUAAAUACGUGCCCGCAGCCGUGUAAUACGUAUGGUGCAAGCGUUAUCUGGAUUUACUGGGUGUAAAGGGAGCGCAGGUGGUACGGGAAGUCUGAUGUGAAAACCCUGGGCAUACCCCCGGUUCUGCCUUGGAAACUGUCUUACUAGAGUGCCUGAUGGAAAGUGGAAUUCCAGUGUAGCGGUUGAAAUGCGU
rnacentral:rRNA from 1 species